GGGCCGGUGGUGUAGCGGCAACACAUUGCAUUCGGACGUGAUGGGAAGUGGUUCGAUUCCCUUCCGGUCCA
rnacentral:tRNA from 1 species